AGCUCGGACUGUCACCGCGCGCAGAUCGGCGCAGUCUACCUGGACUUCACCAGCACACCGCUUCAACAAACACCUGGACAACUUUUGGAUCUACAUUCUCAUUUACGACGUUUGAUUUCUCAAGGAGUGAAGCGAAUAAAAUAAACACGCGAUAUGGGGACACGGCGUGCCGAGGUGGCACUCAGACUGAUGAUGGGGAUCCAAACAAGGAGCCUUUUUAUUCCUGCUUAGAAAACACUCGGAUAUCAGGACAUUGGUGACCCAAGGAGCGCCUGUUUUGGAGUUAACCUUAGAGGAUAGAAAAGGAUUCGUGCAUUGGAGACGUACAGCGUUGUCAUUUAUUCCAGCGCGCAAGGACGAUUUUUCAUCGCAUAAAAGAGACUGAUUGUGUCCGGAGACGCGUGUGCGGACUCGGUGCGCCAAAUAAAGACCCUCCAUCGCCAAGAGCUACGCGGACACGCGGGUGGCUUUACAGUUUUCUGACAAACAGAAUCACUGACCUGAGUGAAGACGCUUUAUAUCCGGCCAAUCAACCCACUGUAAGGGGAGGAGCUCAACCCAAACCAGCCAAUCCAGAGCGAGGGGAGGGGCCAUGGGGGUUUUACAUGUGAUGUUAUUGGCCAGUCUGCUGGAGACUGCAACUCUAGCUUUCAGUCGUGCACCGGUGCCCAUGGCGGUGGUCCGGCGGGAGCUGUCCUGUGAGAGUUACCCAAUCGAGCUGCGCUGUCCCGGGACGGACGUCAUCAUGAUCGAGAGUGCAAAUUAUGGACGAACUGAUGACAAAAUCUGCGACGCCGAUCCCGCGCAGAUGGAGAACACGCGCUGUUACUUACCGGACGCCUACAAGAUCAUGAG